rnacentral:rRNA from 1 species
GUCUGUUCUGCCCGUUGAAUGAAAAUUUGAAAGGCCGCAGUAUCUUGACUGUGCAAAGGUAGCAUAAUCACUAGUUUUUUAAUUGAAGGCUUGAAUGAAUGAUCUGACAAGAACUAAACUGUCUCUUUUGAUUAAAUCGAAGUUUAUUUUUAAGUGAAAAAGCUUAAAUGAUUAAAAAAGACGAUAAGACCCUAUAAAUCUUUAUGUAAAUUAGUUUUUAAUUCUAAAUUUAAGGUUAAAAAAGUUAAAAAGUUAAUUCAUUGUGCUGGGGCGGCAGGGAUAUAAAAAAUAAACUGUCUUUAUAAAAAACAAAAAUUCUUGUAUUAUUAUAGAUCCUAAUUAUGGAUUUAAAGAAUAAGUUACUUUAGGGAUAACAGCAUAAUUUCUUUUGAGAGUUCAAAUCGAAAAAGAAGCUUGUGACCUCGAUGUUGAAUUAAGGAAUCCU